CUAGUUAUUAUCAUAUUAACCAUUGUUCUACUGCUCGUCCUUGGUGGCACAGGUGAAUGUCCUGCCCCUGUGACCACCCCCUCUGACCCCUGUGACGACGGCUGGAUCGGGUACAAGAAAAGAUGUUAUUAUUUCUCUGCCAAUAUUACCGAGUGGGAGAAGAGCCAGGAGUUCUGUGUCUCCAGGAAUGCUACUCUUGCCAUUAUAGACUUAAGACAUGAGCUGGAUUUCAUAAUCCGAUACAAAGGGCCUUCUGACCAUUGGAUUGGUCUAAAAAGGGAAAGU